AGCGAACGCUGGCGGUAGGCCUAACACAUGCAAGUCGAACGGCAGCACAGUAAGAGCUUGCUCUUACGGGUGGCGAGUGGCGGACGGGUGAGGAAUACAUCGGAAUCUACUUUUUCGUGGGGGAUAACGUAGGGAAACUUACGCUAAUACCGCAUACGACCUACGGGUGAAAGCAGGGGAUCUUCGGACCUUGCGCGAUUGAAUGAGCCGAUGUCGGAUUAGCUAGUUGGCGGGGUAAAGGCCCACCAAGGCGACGAUCCGUAGCUGGUCUGAGAGGAUGGUCAGCCACACUGGAACGGAGACACGGUCCAGACUCCUACGAGAGGCAGCAGUGGGGAAUAUUAGACAAUGGGCGCAAGCCUGAUCCAGCCAGACCGCGUGGGUGAAGAAGACCUUCGGGUUGUAAAGCCCUUUUGUUGGGAAAGAACAGCAGCAGGUUAAUACCCCGCUGUUCUGACGGUACCCAAAGAAUAAGCACCGGCUAACUUCGUG
rnacentral:rRNA from 1 species